rnacentral:rRNA from 1 species
GAUGAACGCUAGCUACAGGCUUAACACAUGCAAGUCGCGGGACCGGCGCACGGGUGAGUAACGCGUAUCCAACCUGCACUUCACCACGGGAUAACCCGGCGACAGGCGGGAUAAUAGCGUAUGGAGGAGGAUGGGUAUGCGUCCGAUUAGCUUGACGGCGGGGUAACGGCGCACCGUGGCUACGAGCGGUAGGGGUUCUGAGAGGAAGGUCCCCCACACUGGAACUGAGACACGGUCCAGACUCCUACGGGAGGCAGCAGUGAGGAAUAUUGGUCAAUGGGCGUAAGCCUGAACCAGCCAAGUAGCGUGCAGGACGACGGCCUAUGGGUUGUAAACUGCUUUUAUGCGGGGAUAGGUACCGCAUGAAUAAGGACCGGCUAAUUCCGUGCCAGCAGCCGCGGUAAUUC